UCAGCAUUGGGAUCGAGCGGAUCUUCUCCAUCCUGGAGCAGAGGCUGAAGGCUUCUGGGGAGAAACUUCGCACAACUGAAACCCAAGUGCUGGUGGCUACACCCCAGAAACACUUGCUUGCUGCCAGACUGAAGCUCAUCUCGGAGCUGUGGGACGCAGGGAUCAAGGCAGAGAUGCUGUACAAGAAGGAUCCUAAACUGCUGAAGCAGCUGCAGUAUUGUGAGGACACGGGGAUCCCCCUUGCUGCCAUUGUAGGAGAGCAGGAGCUGGCAGACGGAGUUGUCAAGCUGAGAGAUGUCUCAACACGAGAGGAGGUUGAUAUCCCAAGGGAGAAGCUUGUUGAUGAGAUCAGGAGAAGGCUGGAGCCCUGAGGACUUCUCUGGCCAGAGCUGCUUGGCUGAACUGCUGUACAACUGGAACCCUGCAGUGCCCUUAACCAUUCACUGCCGGCUGAGGCCUGGUUACCAUCCACCAGCCUAAGGCUCCUUGCCUGGGCUAAGGCAGCAAGAAGAGAGGAGCCAGGGGGUUUUAAAAGCUAUGGGACAGCGCAGUCACCAGCUUGAAGUUCUGGUUAAGUGCUCUGAAGGACGGGUUGAGCUUGUGGGUUCCUAAUAGUGCAGUCCCUGCACCUGUA